GGUGCUACUCGCCUCCCUAUGUCAGUGAAUCUGCUGGUCUUUCCAUGUGAUAGGGUAGUGGGGUAUAUGGUAUCACUGUCGUCGUCGCUGUCCUCAUCGUCGCUGUCGUCCUGGUAGUAGUGGUAAUAACCACCACCUCGGUUUAGGUUGCUCAGGGUUGUUAGCCUGUCUCAGCCUGUUGCUACACAGACAACAUAAGGCUCUGAACAGCAUCCAGCUGGAGGCUCGGCUCAUAAGCUGCGCACUUUGUAAGUAUACGGGAAAGCACGUUGGUAUCGUGAACCAGACAUCAAACGCUUGAUAGUACAGACACCUUGGGCUAUCCGAUAGGACCGUGCAGGGAGAUGACGAGAGCUACUACGAGCGGGUCCAGAGAGCAUCUUUUCCGUUGCGAGAAGGAGCUUGCCGAAGCCGCUCUGGAAGACAGAGGGAGCUCCUACGUAUUAGACAUCUUCAGAAAACGUGAGCUUAGUCAUCGUGAAAGGGUUCAGUGUGACAAUGUCGACUACGAGCGUUACGGGUUGAUCCCUAUCCAUCGGGACGUCAACUCCUCGGCUUACUGUCCGCAGCAGCAGGCCUCUACACUCAUUGAGAGUGGGCUCCUGAAUCCCCCUGUGGUUGGCGGUUGCAGUAAAACAUAAAUAUAUACUACAUACUGUAUAUUUUUUUAUUUCUCCGGGGCCCAGGGGCAAUAGCCCAGAGCCAGAGAGGGAAAAUCACUUUCAUCUGGAGAAGCUCGUCCGUUAACACGGGGCGGCCCAUCUGCAGCUCCCCGCUGUUCCUAAAAGAAAGAUUAAGGAUUUGAGUUGGCCUGACGGAGAGAUCUUCCAGGCGGCUCCGGCCCAUGGAGGAUGCAGAGCAUCACAUCAGAUCAAACAUUGAUAAACCAGUACUUUACCAGCGUUUUAUCAAUAUCUUUAAAGGACGGGGAGUUUUUGCCACUGAAUUCAUAUCCAAAGGAGACUUUGUUGUGGAGUACCGAGGUGAACUGCUUACACAACAGGAGGGCGAGGUCCGAGCUGAUCAGUACAAUGAUUCUGCAAAGGUGUUUCUUUUCGAUAUUCAAUGGAAAGGAAGAACAUGGUGCAUUGAUGCAUCUGAAGAAGACUCCUCCCUUGGGAGACUCGUUAAUGAUGAUCACUAAAGACUCAAUCUCAAAAUGAAAGCCAUACAAGCAAAUGAUGAGCCACACUUGUGCCUCUUCGCGACUCGAGAUAUUGCAGCUGGCGAGGAGUUGACUUAUAGUUACGGUGAUUCAGACUGGCCAUGGAGAACACAGGUCAUCAAAACUGAAUUGUCGUCCAGCCCAAAACCUGACCAUACAAACGCUUCACACCGCGUGGCCGCGGCCACCC